rnacentral:lncRNA from 1 species
CUUGUAAGGAUGUUCCAAGAACCACUUAGUUGGAGAAGGAAAACUGUGCCGUUCAUUAACAAGUCCGGUGCUUUAUAAUAUAUUUAAAGAUGGUAAGGACGUAAAGAAAACAGGUUUGUAAAUGAUGUUGUACAUCAUGCAGAUAGCUCAGAAGAAGAAGCAGGAAUGUUUGACUGGAAAUAUAAACGAUGUUGUAUAUAAUGCAGAUAGCUUAGGCGAAAAAGAGAUUGGUGAAAUGGAGAAUGAGACUAACUACGGUG